rnacentral:rRNA from 1 species
CUCCUACGGGAGGCAGCAGUGGGGAAUUUUCCACAAUGGACGAAAGUCUGAUGGAGCAACGCCGCGUGCAGGAUGAAUGCCUUAGGGUUGUAAACUGCUUUUAUAUGUGACGAAUUUGACGGUAGCAUAUGAAUAAGGAUCGGCUAACUCCGUGCCAGCAGCCGCGGUAAUAC